CCUACGGGGGGCAGCAGUGAGGAAUAUUGGUCAAUGGGCGCAAGCCUGAACCAGCCAUCCCGCGUGCAGGAAGACGGCCCUAUGGGUUGUAAACUGCUUUUCCAGGGAGAGAAACUUACGCACGUGUUGCGUGACUGACGGUACCCUGGGAAUAAGCAUCGGCUAACUCCGUGCCAGCAGCCGCGGUAAUACGGAGGAUGCAAGCGUUAUCCGGAUUCAUUGGGUUUAAAGGGUGCGUAGGCGGGCUAUUAAGUCAGUGGUGAAAUCCUGCAGCUUAACUGCAGAACUGCCGUUGAUACUGAUAGUCUUGAGUUUGGUUAAGGUAGGCGGAAUGUGUAAUGUAGCGGUGAAAUGCUUAGAUAUUACACAGAACACCAAUUGCGUAGGCAGCUUACUGAGCCGACACUGACGCUGAGGCACGAAAGCGUGGGGAUCAAACAGGCUUAGAUACCCUGGUAGUC
rnacentral:rRNA from 1 species